GCUGUGACAUAACUUGAUUUCACUGAUAAUUUGAAUUAACAUCCACAGGUACUCUGGAAAACCCUACUUUCCAUAUGAAUCUAUGUAUGUAAGUAAGUACAUCAAAAAUACUUGCAUUUUAUUGGCAUUUCGUUUACGAUUAGAGCCUUUUUCCUUUUUUCUUUUUUUGAAAUGUUUGCAGACUGAAAGGGUCUUGAUGUGUAGUAUUGGGCAAAGUGGAGAUGGGUGUAUUGUGGCAUGGACAACAUAAAUUCAGUUGUCUGGGAUCAUGGAGAAGAGGAAUUAUCCCUAUGGGAAGAUAGCAGGUGGAUUAGUUACUAGGCCGCAUCUGCAAUAUGCAAUUAAAGGAAAACAUCUGUUUCACAUCAUCUAUUUCUUCUUUUCCAGGACACUCCUCUGGUUUUUCUCUGACACUGCAACCUGGAGACAAGUCAUUUCUCUAAUGAAGCCAUGCAAACAUCAUGUGUUCCUCCGUGGAAAGAAGUGAAGAAGGCCAGGAGCAACAGGACACAGAGCAAACUUAAGUUACAAAGUCCUAACCGGAAGCAAGCAGAGAUGCUGGAGCUGUCCUGGAGAAAGAUAGAGUCACAGAAUCAUAGAACCACCAAGGCUGGAAAAGAUCUCCAAGGUCCAACCCAGUCCAACCUCAACUCACCCCCACCACGCCCACUGACCAUGACCCCACAGUGUCACACCUCCACAUUUCUUGAACACCUCCACGGAUGGUGACCCCACCACCUCCCUGGGCAGCCUGUGCCAAUGCCUGACCACCCUUUCCGAGAAGACAUUUCUCCUAAUGCCCAACAUGGAACAGAAUAGAGAUGUGGGGAACCCUGUGGCACCGAAUCUGGGAGUCUGAUGAAAGUUUUCCCCUGGGAUUACUGUUGCACAAACACAAUUACCAACAGCUAAAGGAUAACUGCGCUGACUGUCAAGGUAAGUAAGCACUGGGCUUUCUAG
ensembl:lncRNA